rnacentral:rRNA from 1 species
UACAGAGGUCUCAAGCGUUGUUCGGAUUCAUUGGGCGUAAAGGGUGUGUAGGUGGCGCCGUAAGUCGGGUGUGAAAUUUCGGAGCUUAACUCCGAAACUGCAUUCGAUACUGCGGUGCUUGAGGACUGGAGAGGAGACUGGAAUUCAUGGUGUAGCAGUGAAAUGCGUAGAGAUCAUGAGGAAGACCAGUGGCGAAAGGCGGGGUCUCUGG